rnacentral:lncRNA from 1 species
AAGCAGUGGUGGGUUCCAUGUGAUGGUGGAGUAGGAGGCAGGUCUCCGCGGUUCAUCUGUGUUGCUCUAAAUGACACUGCUUCAUUAUUUUGAUGGCUGGAGAAUAUUUCCUAGUGUAUGUAUAUGAGAGUUUCUUGAUCUCUUUAUCUGUGGAUGAACAGCUACUUUGAAACAUAUGGUACAUUUGUGUUAAGGCUAGUCACCCUGCUGUGGAAUAGAAGGCCAGAA